AUGCUGGACAUUGUGUUAAAAUUAUUUAUCCAACUGCUUAUUCAAUUCAUUGUUUGUUUAUCCAAUUAUUUAUCCAACUUAGAAUUGGAACAAAAUGAAAAUUCUGAAAUUAUGCAUCAUCUAACAUCGAUAGCGAAAGUAAUCUUCAUCCCAGUUCUAUUAAGAAAAAUAGACAAUCUAAAGUAUCCAUGCAUAGUCAGAGUUAUUUUCAUGUCAAAUCAGUUGAACAAAUUUGACAAUCUAAAAGUCCAUCAUCUGUGCACUCGAAGUAGUUACAGAGACAGAGUGUAUUACAACAGUCAAGCCUUAAUUUUAGAGAUCAGGACUUGA
rnacentral:rRNA from 1 species